GUUCCCCCACCUCGUCUGCCACAGCCUCCCCCGUGACUUUUCUGUGGAGUGGGGAGACCUCUGCAGACAGGAUAAAUCCAACAUUGCUGCAGGCGUGCAGAGGGAGACAACUAGAUUCUCUGACACAGCAGACAGGAGGGGUCUCACUGCAGCACAUAAGAAUAAACAGCUACUCAAAGUUGGCAUGCGCUCUUCACCCAGAGGGAAAAAACAUCAGCAUAAAAAAACAUCAGAUGGGCCAUAAAGCAAAAAACUGCCAUCCAGUGAAAGGGCAAUCUCCAUGCCUUGGUUUCUUGAAAACAGGUAUCUCAGUGUCAAGACAAAGCCAGCCUAAUUAAAAUUAAUCGCUUGACAAUUGAACUAAUUUGUAACAGCUGUCAUCUUCCUUACCUGCUUCUCACCAAUAGUAUAAGAGGAACUCUUAAUUACCAAAUGUGCAUAUACGAUGUACAGAGAUCAUCAACCCCAACACUGCUGACUGAGACACAAGGGGUAGAAGGAAAUUGUUGUCUGAGGAAGCCAACUAAGUGCCCUGAUUAUCUGUACCUUGAUAGCACUAAGUAAAGCUUUACUUGAUACAUUUCCUGGGACCCAGAUCUCCCAUCUGAACUGUAUUCCUAGCGUGGAGGUGGGAUGGACACACAGACCUUUGAAGGGGGAAAGACCCAAGGCACUGCUGUAGCGUUUGGGGACCACCUCUGAACUUCCCAAUUGCUCUGGGGGCUCUGUGGUAUGGAGACUGGAAUGGGAGAGGCUCUAGGGGAAGAGAGGCUGGCUGACAGCAAAGAAGAAAGCCUCUUUCCCAUGCUAGGGGACACAAAAGCUCAGCAGCUCACAUCUGAUCAUUUCACAGCAUGGCUGAUUAAGUAACAGUCAUUUGACUUUGAUUAAAAUAUUUGGAAAAGCUCAGUUGUUUCUGACACCCUUCCCCACUCACUGGAUCUGAAAGGCUCCCUACAGGAAACAGCAAGAAAUGGGGGAAGAGCAGCACAAUAUUUUGCUCUCAAGCAUGUGUACUACACUCACUGAUUUUAAUGGGAGGUCUUACAGAAUGCUCCCCCGAGAGCAGUAUAUCAUGUAUAUGAUUGUAAAAUAUAUUUAUUUAGGAUUAAGGAAAAAGAUGGAAAUAAAUCAGAAGGAGAUAUUGUAACAAUAACUUUGCUUUUACUGAGCAUCAGAAUUAGGAGCAACAAAUAAAAAAUGGAUAGUAAAUUGACAUAGGAAAACCUACCCCUUCCCUUACUUCAGCUUACUUACCAUCCCUCAAAAAUACAGAGUUUCAACAGUUUUAAGUUUAUGAAGAUCAAAAAUGCAACAUAAUAAAAACUUGCACCAUUUAGAGAAGGCAUAGAUAAUAAAGCAAGUGCUUUAUAAUUUGCAGUGAUCUAUUUCUUCCUUUACAUACCAAUUAGCUUGCCCAGUGAAGUGGAAAUUUAACUGUAUCCAUGAAAACAUUAAAGACCAUAAAUUAAAAAGUAGCAAUUAAUUGUGUUGCCUAUUUUUAAGAUGUUGAAGCUUAGUUUUUCAUAUUCUGGCAGUCUAUCAAACUCAGCUCCAUUACAGAUGUCUUAGAGCUGAAUUGAUGAUGAUAUUCAGAAGUAAGGGCAUUCUCUUCAGUAGUCCUACCCUGAUGAAG